rnacentral:rRNA from 1 species
CCUACGGGUGGCAGCAGUGGGGAAUAUUGCACAAUGGGGGAAACCCUGAUGCAGCGACGCCGCGUGAGUGAAGAAGUAAUUCGUUAUGUAAAGCUCUAUCAGCAGGGAAGAAAAUGACGGUACCUGAGUAAGAAGCCCCGGCUAACUACGUGCCAGCAGCCGCGGUAAUACGUAGGGGGCAAGCGUUAUCCGGAUUGACUGGGAGUAACGGGAGCGUAGACGGAAGUGCAAGUCUGGAGUGAAAGGCGGGGGCUCAACCGCAGGAUUGCAGUGGAAACUGUCCGGCUGGAGUACAGGAGAGGUAAGUGGAAUUCGUGGUGUAGCGGUGAAAUGCGUAGAUAUUAGGAAGAACACCAGUGGCGAAGGCAGCUUACUGGACUGUAACUGACGCUGAGGCUCGAAAGCGUGGGGAGCAAACAGGAUUAGAUACCCCGGUAGUC